GACGAACGCUGACGGUGUGCUUUAGGCAUGCAAGUCGAACGAGAAAGCCCUCGGGUGAGUAGAGUGGCGAACGGGUGAGUAACACGUGGAUAACCUGUCCCUCGCAGGGGGAUAACCGGGGGAAACCCCGGCUAAUACCCCGAUACGUUUCUCAGGGGGCAUCCCCUGAGAAAGAAGGUAGCUUCGGCCAUCCGGGCGAGGGAGGGUCCG
rnacentral:rRNA from 1 species